rnacentral:lncRNA from 1 species
GCGUGGCAAUCACCACCAGGCACAGGUUGAUCAUGAAGAAGGAGCCCACCUGUGACGGGGGCGGGCGGAUCUGGCCUUGAGAUGACCCUCUCAACGGUGGCCACUCUCCCCUCCCCAGCACCCCAGGUCCCCGCAGGGUGGCUCUAGGUAUACCUAGGACCCCACAGACGUCUGCGGCCUGAUUAACCCAACUCUGCCAGGACCCACUGGGGCCUAUGAGAGGACCAGCUAAGGAGCACACCUGGGGCCACACACGCCCGUGGAAAGCGGUGCUGGGAGGCUAUGCACUCCCCAGGGUGUUCCUGGCUCUUCAGCCCUGAGCCAGCACCCACAGGCCUGGACCCUGUCUAGGUGAUGCCAUGGCCUCUUGGGGUCCCCAGCCACACCUCCCCACCCCCGCAAGCUCUGCCUCCCUCCCCUGUGUGCUCCCUUCAGCUGGAAGACAGACAGGAGCCCCUAUGACCACCCAGGUACCCCACCCCACCCCCAGCCAGCUAACACCAGGGCCCAUCAUGGCGAACACUG